rnacentral:rRNA from 1 species
AGAGUUUGAUCCUGGCUCAGGACGAACGCUGGCGGCGUGCCUAACACAUGCAAGUCGAGCGAUGAAAUCCUUCGGGAUGGAUUAGCGGCGGACGGGUGAGUAACACGUGGGUAACCUACCUCAAAGAGGGGGAUAGCCUCCCGAAAGGGAGAUUAAUACCGCAUAACAUUAGUUUUUCGCAUGAAGAACUAAUUAAAGGAGUAAUCCGCUUUGAGAUGGACCCGCGGCGCAUUAGCUAGUUGGUGAGGUAACAGCUCACCAAGGCGACGAUGCGUAGCCGACCUGAGAGGGUGAUCGGCCACAUUGGAACUGAGAUACGGUCCAGACUCCUACGGGAGGCAGCAGUGGGGAAUAUUGCACAAUGGGCGAAAGCCUGAUGCAGCAACGCCGCGUGAGUGAUGAAGGCCUUCGGGUUGUAAAGCUCUGUCUUUGGGGACGAUAAU